AGCUUGCUCCCGGAUUCAGCGGCGGACGGGUGACUAACUCCUGGGAAUCUGCCUGGUAGUGGGGGAUAACGUCCGGAAACGGGCGCUAAUACCGCGUACGUCCUACGGGAGAAAGCAGGGGAUCUUCGGACCUUGCGCUAUCAGAUGAGCCCAGGUCGGAUUAGCUAGUAGGUGAGGUAAUGGCUCACCUAGGCGACGAUCCGUAACUGGUCUGAGAGGAUGAUCAGUCACACUGGAACUGAGACACGGUCCAGACUCCUACGGGAGGCAGCAGUGGGGAAUAUUGGACAAUGGGGGCAACCCUGAUCCAGCCAUGCCGCGUGUGUGAAGAAGGUCUUCGGAUUGUAAAGCACUUUAAGUUGGGAGGAAGGGCUUUAGGUUAAUACCCUGAAGUUUUGACGUUACCAACAGAAUAAGCACCGGCUAACUCUGUGCCAGCAGCCGCGGUAAUACAGAGGGUGCAAGCGUUAAUCGGAAUUACUGGGCGUAAAGCGCGCGUAGGUGGUUCAGUAAGAUGGGUGUGAAAUCCCCGGGCUUAACCUGGGAACUGCUUUCAUAACUGCUGAGCUAGAGUACGGUAGAGGGUAGUGGAAUUUUCCUGUGUA
rnacentral:rRNA from 1 species